CCGCGAGUAUGGGAAAAAGAAAAUGCGAGUACAAUACACCAAUUUGGAGCCCUAAUUGUUAAUUUUUAGGUAAAAACUGUACUCUCCAUACUCGCCCCCAAUUUUCAGUAGCUGUGAUCAUCACAAUUCUCUACUGGCACUGCACAAAAUUGAGUACUUGGAUUGGGGGAACACAUUUUACCUCAAUGGUUAUGGACCUUGUGCCGCCAUCAGGCGAUCAUCACGAGAAAGAAGACUGUGGGCGGCGUACUUGUGUAAGGAUUGAAAGUGCAAGAGGAAAACUUUGUGGUACAGAUGGAGCUACUGUCACUGCUUCAAAGAGUGUUUGCCUGGGAAUAGAGAAUGCAGGAACUAGCUGGAACGAAAGAACAUCUAAUGGCGCAAAUGUACUGCCAAAUACAGAUUCUUUGGCUGUGAAUUGCUAUAGGAACUUGGAGCCUCAUGAUGGGAUGGAAUUUGACUCGAAAGAGAAUGCCUUUUCACAUUACAAAGAAUAUGCUAAGUCCAUUGGAUUUUCCUCAAUAAUAAAGGCUAGCCGUCGAUCCAGAAUUUCUGGAAAAUUUAUUGAUGCAAAAUUUGUUUGCAGUAGAUAUGGAAGUAAGCGUGAACCUUCUACUUCUGGCGCAGAACCUGUUCCAAGUACUGAUGCAGCAGGAAGUAAUCCUGUGAAAAGAAAAAAAGGCAGAAUAAACAGGUCUUGGUCAAAAACAGAUUGUAAGGCUUGCUUGCAUGUAAAGAGAAGGUCUGAUGGAAGGUGGGUUAUUCAUACUUUUGUCAAAGAGCAUAACCAUGAAAUAUUUCCGGAUUGGACCAGAUAUCCUCCAGGUCACAGGAACAUUGAUCUGGGUAAAAAUGAUGCAGAUGCAUUUCAUGCUAUCCGUGGGAGGACGGAAAAGACUUAUGCCUCGACAUCUAGGCAUUCUGGUUUUAUGAAGAAAGUUGAGAAGCAAAAGAAUGGUGGCACAAAUAGUAGUCCUCAAUCUUUGGCUUUAGAUGAGGGAGAUGCACAAGUUAUUCUUGAGUAUUUUCUUUGCAUGCAAGAUGAAAAUCCAAACUUCUUUUAUGCAUUGGAUUUGAAUCAAGAGAAACGCUUGAGAAAUGUCUUUUGGAUUGACGCUAAAUGUAGGCUUGACUGUGGUAACUUCAGUGACGUAGUUCUUUUUGACACUACCUAUAUAACAGACGAAUAUAAGCUGCAGUUUGUUCCUUUUAUUGGCGUCAAUCAUCAUUUUCAGUCCAUAUUGCUGGGAUGUGGGCUGAUUGCAGAUGAGAGUAAGUCAACUUUUAUUUGGUUGAUGCGAGCAUGGCUCAGGGCAUUGGGUGGACAAGUUCCAAAAGUAAUUCUAACUGAUCAAGGCAAAACACUGGAAGAAGUUAUUGCUGAGGUUUUACCAGAUUCACGCCAUUGCUUUUGUUUGUGGCAUGUACUGAGUAAGAUCCAGGAGAAGCUUGGUCAUGUCAUAAGGCAGCAUGAAAGUUUUCUCUCCAAAUUCAAUAAAUGUAUUUUGAGGUCAGCAACCAAUGAAUUGUUUGAAAAGAGGUGGUGGAAGGUGGUUGCUAGAUUUGAUCUGAGGAAUGACUUGUGGAUUAAAUCAUUGUAUGAAGAUCGGCUAAGGUGGGUACCGACAUACAUGAAUAAAAUCUUCUUGGCAGGAAUGUCUACGAUGCAACGAGUAGAAAGCGUUAGUGCUCUUCUUGAUAAAUGCAUAUUAUGCAAGACGACAUUAAAGGAGUUUCUUGACCAGUAUAAAAAACUGCUGCAAGAGAAGUGUCAAGGAGAGGCAAAUGCUGAUUUUGAGACGAGACAUAAACAACCAGGACUGAAAUCUCCCUCCCCUUUUGAAAAGCAGAUGUCAACUUUAUACACUCAUACGACAUUCAAGAAAUUCCAAGUUGAGGUUUUAGGAGUGGUUGCUUGCCACCCGAAAAAGGAAAACGACGAUGGUGAAAAUGGCACAUAUAGAGUCCAAGAUUUUGAAGUAAAUCAAGAAUUCAUUGUCGUAUGGAAUGAGAGGACAUCUGAUACUUCAUGUUCUUGUCAUUUGUUCGAGUACAAUGGAUUCCUUUGUAGACAUGUGAUGAUAGUUCUUCAGAUGGCUGGUGUGCAUACCAUCCCCUCUAAAUAUGUUUUAAGACGCUGGACUAAAGGUGCAAAGAGUAGAGAGAAGACGAGACAAGUAGCUUUGGUUGAUUCCAGAGUUCAACGCUACAAUGAUCUAUGUCAAAGGGCAUUUGAGCUAGGUGAUGAAGGGUCGUUAUCUCAAGAGAGUUAUAACAUUUUAUCUAGUGUUCUGGAAAAUUUUCUGAGAACACGUGAGACCGUGAAUGAUGCAAAUUUAAAUGAAUCAGAACCUUGUUCUCUCCCAAAUCAAGGUCUUAAUGACCUUGAAGUAUUCACAGAUAGAAACAAUUCAAGUAAGAGUAAUGGAAAGAACAUAGCAAGAAAAGAGAAGGAAGGACAAAUAGAUUUCGGAGAAUCAACUGUGGAUUAUCCUUUCGGAUCACAUUCAGCCAUACAGCCAAUGGGACAAUUGAAUACAAAUAUCCAAGGCUAUGCCAACCAUUUAAACAUGCUGGGGCUGGGACAAUUGAGUACACUUGUUUCAAUUGAAGAUGGCCCUUAUCUCUCUCAACCUAGAUUGCAUGGACUGAGAAGAGCACAGCUUUGUUCGGGUUGGUCUUGGUCUUGGGACAAGUGUAUUUUAGGCCUGCAGAUGCUCAAAGUUCUUUUGGGGUUCAGGACAGUCUCCAAGAGUCUACUAUGGCCAAUACGGAGAAUUUGUGCUCAAAGAAUUUAUCUUGACAAUAGCUCACGCUGCAGUUCCUUGGCCAACUUUACCAUCUCGUAGUUUGUACAUAUAUGAGACCAUUGCCUUGUGCACAGAACUUCAACAGCAUGGAAUGACGUUGUUGAAGAAGUGUGUCAAAGCGGAGUGAGCGUUAUUGGAGAGCCAGGAAGGGCAUAAGGGACAGAUUGCAGUGGAGUGGAGUGGAGUGCUGUAACAAGUAUGGAAUCUCGCUUGUUUUGACCAAUGUGAGACACUUCAGGCAUUAAAUAAUCGUAACACAGGUUGUUGUACCUCAAAGAUUGGAAGAAGAUUCUUGAAGAUCGCGACAACUUUUAUCGAAAGGAAUGUAGUGAACAAAGUCGUCUAACUUAAGAUAGUCGUAGUAAAAAUAAAGGCAGCAUUCUCUUGUCUUUCAUUUUUCUUUUAUUCUGAGGUCCUAACAAUACAAAAAGAAAUUGUCUAAGAUACCACGUAAGAUAUUUCAACUAUUCUAUGUAUGAGAUGUAACAAGUUCAACUAGUUAUGAAAUUCAAAAGACAUUGUUUGAUCAA